UCGGCCAGUCGGACGACCGCUGCUCCUGAAUUUGCGGAGCGGAGGAAAGUCCGGGCAGGAAAAAGCACGGCGACGGCUAACGACCGUCCGGAGUAAUCCGCGGGAUAGUGCAACAGAAAAUAUACCGCCCCGCACCUAUUUUGCUAUCGUUCAGAGCCGCGACAGUAAUGGAGCGGUAUUUAGCCCCCAGUUUUACUGGGGGUUCAGUUCGAUACCGAAAUAGGUGCGAGGUAAGGGUGAAAUGGUGCGGCAAGAGCGCACCGCGUCAGCAGUAAUGUUGAUGGCAUUGAAAACCCCGCCGCCUGCAAGACCAAGUAUGCCGGUAUGCCUCGCUUGGGCGUUAACCCGGCGGGUAGGUCGCUUGAGCCUGUCAGCAAUGACAGGACCAGAUAAAUGGUCGUCCAAGACAGAACCCGGCUUAUAGACUCGCCGAACAA
rnacentral:RNase_P_RNA from 3 species